rnacentral:lncRNA from 1 species
CGAGGACGUGCCUCUCCUCCAAUCAGAGAGUCCUCCUUCACGUUCUGCAGAGCUGUAACGUGUCAAAAGGAGAAUCACUGGAUGAAGAGGCCGGUCUGCACUUUUCACUCUCCAGAGUGAAAGUGCCUAGGGCCUAUGAACACCAAAAUCCAGCCCUGUUCCAUGCAUCUGUGCAUUAUGACUUCAGAGUCGCAGCAAUGUGGUUCCUAUCCUGGAAGCAUAAGGAGAACUACACUCUGAACAGGAUGCCAGGAAACAGUUAGAGCAGACAAUUAAAAAAGCAAUCAAUUAAAAGUUUGGGCAUUUCAUGACAUC